rnacentral:rRNA from 1 species
GAUGAACGCUAGCGGCAGGCCUAAUACAUGCAAGUCGAACGGUGUCUUCGGACAUAGUGGCGCACGGGUGCGUAACACGUAUGCAACCUACCUUACAUUGGGGGAUAGCCUUUCGAAAGGGAGAUUAAUACCGCAUAAGACAGUAACUAGGCAUCUAGUAGCUGUUAAAGAUUUAUCGAUGUAAGCUGGGCAUGCGUCCAAUUAGCUAGUUGGUGAGGUAACGGCUCACCAAGGCAAUGAUUGGUAGGGGAACUGAGAGGUCAAGCCCCCACACUGGCACUGAGACAAGGGCCAGACUCCUACGGGAGGCAGCAGUAGGGAAUAUUGGGCGAGGGACGCCAGUCUGACCCAGCCAUGCCGCGUGCAGGAUGAAGGCGUUAUGCGUUGUAAACUGCUUUGAUACAGGAAGAAACGACUCUUGCGAGAGGCAUUGACGGUACUGUAUGAAUAAGCACCGGCUAACUCCGUGCCAGCCGCCGCAGUAAGAC